rnacentral:rRNA from 1 species
CCUACGGGCGGCAGCAGUGGGGAAUAUUGGACAAUGGGCGAAAGCCUGAUCCAGCCAUGCCGCGUGUGUGAAGAAGGCCUUCGGGUUGUAAAGCACUUUCAGUGGGGAAGAAAGCCUUGGGGCUAAUACCCUCGAGGAAGGACAUCACCCACAGAAGAAGCACCGGCUAACUCCGUGCCAGCAGCCGCGGUAAUACGGAGGGUGCGAGCGUUAAUCGGAAUUACUGGGCGUAAAGCGCGCGUAGGCGGUCUGAUAAGCCGGUUGUGAAAGCCCCGGGCUCAACCUGGGAACGGCAUCCGGAACUGUCAGGCUAGAGUGCAGGAGAGGAAGGUAGAAUUCCCGGUGUAGCGGUGAAAUGCGUAGAGAUCGGGAGGAAUACCAGUGGCGAAGGCAGCCUUCUGGACUGACACUGACGCUGAGGUGCGAAAGCGUGGGUAGCAAACAGGAUUAGAUACCCCGGUAGUC